CUUGUUUUUAUUAACAGAUACGUAAACUUCAAUAUUAUCAAUACGCUUAAGUCUUCUUGCAUUGGUAUCUUUUAUAAAACACGGUGAAAAGCAAGUAUUACUUGAACUAGCUGAUCUAUUGUUCCAGCGUCAAAAUGUUAGAGGAUCCUGUGACAGAUCUAGAUAAUUCAAACUCUACUUUUUGCUUCUUCCUUAUUUCACAUUUAUCACAUUUUACCGCGUCACUGUUUUUUAAAGAUUUGCCUUUUCCUCUUCACAAUUGCUAUUGUCCCUCUCUGUUUAUGCACUUGCCUAAAAAUGUAAAUGUCGAGUAGCUCUGCUGAGCCCCAGAUCUAUUCCUGGUAGAUAAUGGAGGGUGGGGGGAGGCAGGGAAGUUGGUUUAUUUUUCAUGUGACUUUAAGAAGCAGAAUCCAACGUGACUGCUUUUGGAUCGUGCCUUUGUCUCUAUGCCAGCAUUGUCGGUGAUGUCAGUGGGAACUUGCACAGUUGUAGCGUGAUGGGGAUCAUCUGUGGGCCAGGAUGAUGCUUCUCAUGAUGGUUUGGGGUAUAUCCUGCCAAAGCACAGCCAGUUUCAUGUUUCUUUUAUUAAAACACUCAUUCCCAAACUGAUCAUCACGUUCCUUGCAUUGAUCACAUUUUAUCGUAUGAAGCGGUGCCAGGUCUUUUUCAUUAGGGAAUGGUGUACUUCAACAGAAAAACUACUGUCACAAAAAAGCCAAACUAUUCCCAGGAGCCUUUUCUGGGAUUUCAAAUAGUAGCCUCAGCUUAGAACUUAAUUUUUCCUUAGAUACUUAUUCCAAGCAAAUGCAAACAAGCAUCAGGACUAUUAAAUGCUAACAGCAAUAAUCCCUAUGCUAUUUCCUCAUUUCCCUUAACAGUUUUUAUUGUCGUACUAGAGUAAAGCUAUUAGAUGGUCGAGAGCCAAAAGUAUAGAAUGAUAUUAGUGCAACCAUCAUUGAUGUGGUGGGGAUUAAAGAGGGUUUUUUCUUUUUAAUUCUGCAUAGUUGAUUUUACUCAGGUUAAUCAAUUUUAGAGCCUAGCAUUGAGACCAUUUUAAAGGGCAAUAAAAGGACCAACAUCAGGCAUUGACAGACAUACUGUGUUGAACCUGUAUAAAUGGCAGCAAAUUGAUCUGAUUUAUUUAGUCCCGUUUCUUGACAUUGUUCCUAUGACUAAGGGUUCAUCAAAAUUGUGCACUUUCUUCAGAAUAGAUUUGUACCAGAAAUGACAAUUUAGCAGAGGUUUCUGUGUUAGUUGCAUAUAUACUUGUCACUACCAUGGUAACACAACAAAAGCAGGUUACAAAGCCAUGACUUUGGGCCAUACUGUCAAUGUCAAAAAAAAGCACUUAGCUCUGGGAUUGGUACAUAGAGGGACUGUUUUUGAAAAAGUGAUUGUUUCUUCCAAUAUUUCUUUUUCCUUCCUAACUUACCUUGCUUUUGUUUGGGACGUUUUAAAACUCAUACAUAGAAAGGCAAAAGUCUACUCCAACACUCUCCCUUGCAACAAAUCCAAAGGCAGGUGUAAGAACCACAGAAACAGCUGCCUUAAUCUUGAGUUUUGUCAAGGACCCCUAGCUGUUAUUUAGGAGGAGAUGAAAAUAUAAUGAGUGCAUUUCCCACCCCCACCAGCAUGGUACCCGAGGCUUUCGGAAACAUUAACCGGAUUGUUCCUUUGCUCUGCAAAGCGCGUCCGGUGUCAGGAGUGUUAAUAUACAUGUGCAUUCUACCUCAGCGCCCCUUACAGUGAAAUAAGGUGACACUUGUUAAUUAUGUGCUCAGGGCCACAGCCCCCACCUCUCAGAGGACUCCCUGCCUGCUGGUUGGGCAUACUCUCUUUGCAUAGCUCCUGUUGGCUGUACCAAUUAACUUCCACUUCUUCCAGUUAAUAGAUAUUGAGUACCUAUGUAGUGUCAGGUUCUGUUUGAGACACUCAUACAGGUCAGUGACUGAAACAAAAAGAUUACCACCCUCACAGAGUUUAUAGUCUAGUGUGGUGAGAUAAACAACGGCACAAAAUGUAAUGAUACACAAUAGUAACAAAUAGUAACACAAUAGUAACAAAAUGUAAUAGCACAAUAGUAACAAAAUGUAAAUUUUAUAGUAUUUUAGAGCAGCAGACCCCAACCUUUUAGGCACCAGGGACCGGUUUCAUGGAAGACAGUUUUUCCACUGGGGCGGGGGGGAUGGUUCAGGAGGUAGUGUGAGCGAUGGGGAGCGAUGGGGAGCGGCAGAUGAAGCUUCGCUCGCUCGCCCCUCACUCACCUCCUGCUGUGCAGCCCAGUUCCUAACAGGCCACAGACCGGUACCGGUCCUGGCCCGGGGAUUGGGAACCCCUGUUUUAGAGGAUUAUAUGGGUGAUGGAAAAACAAAAGGAGAGCAGAGCACAGGACAUUAUAGGGUGCUGGGGAAGGAGUGAAGAAUGCAAUUUUAAAUAGGGUGGGCAGAGUGGGCCUCAUUCAGAAGGUGACAUCUGAGCAAAGACUUGAAGGAAGCUAAGAAGUUACCAUGUAGGUGUCUGGGGCAGUGGUCCGCAACUUUAGCAUGCAACAGCAUUACCUGGGGGGCUUGUUGAAACACAGAUUGCUGGGCCCCACCUAGAGUUCUUGAUUCAGUAUGUCUUCAAUAAGGCCUGAGAAUUUGCUUUUCUACAAAGUCCCCAGGUGAUGCUGAUGCUGCCAGCUUGAGAGCUGUACUUUGAGAACCCCUGAUCCAGGAGGAGAACAUUACUGAAAGAAGAGCUAGGUAAAAAAGCAUCAGGAAACGAAUGAGCCUGGUUGUUUUAGGAAACCAUGAGGAGGCAAGGAUGGCUGGAAGAGUGAGCAAGGGGGAGAGCAGUAGAAAAAGAGUCAAAUCGCAUAAGACCCUGUGACUUUUUCUCCAAGUGACAUGGGGAUCUGUCGUAGAGUUUGGGGCAGAUAAUUGACAUGAUCUGACUGAGUAAUAAAAAGGAAUACUCUGACUGCUAUGUUGAGACUACACAGUAGGCGACCACAGGUUGACACAGGAAGAAGAGGACACUGCAAUAAGCCAGGUGAGAGAUGAUGGCUUCAACGAAGGUGGUAGCAGUGGAUCUGCUGAGAAGUAGUAGAAGACAGAUUCUACAAAAUUUACUGACAGACUGGAUGUCUAGCAUUUGAGAAAGAAAGGCUCCAAGACGACUCCAAAGUCAUUAGCCCAAGCAACUAGAAGAAUACAGUUUUCAUCAAUAGGGCAAGGGAAACAACUUUUGGGUGUAAAAUGUUGGAGUUCAGUUGUGGACCUGCGGAGCUGGAGAGACCUAUUUUACUUUUAAGUGUAAACAGCAAUUAAUCAUUUGUAUUGUAUAUACUCAUCUGGAAUUGGAGAGGGGCAUGGAACUGGAAAUCUAACAAUGCAUCUUUGGCAUAUGAAUGGGUUUGAAAGUCAUGUGAGGUGGCUGAGAUCAUCACAGGAGGAGAAAAGAGCUAAGGUCUGCACUCUGGACCCUACAACAUGAAGUGGUUAGAGAGAAGAGAAGGCUUACAAAGGAGAUGAGAAGGACUAACCAGUAAGGAAGAAAAACAGGAGCUUGUGGCAUCCCGGAAGUGAAGUGAAUAAAGCAGGGCAAGGAGAAAGGCGUGACAGUGUUUUCAGUGCUUUCCUCUUAGUUGAAGAAGAUGAGGGCUAAGAACUCACCAUUGGGUUUAGCAAUGUAGAAGCUAUUGGUGAUCAUGACAACAGCAGUUCAGAGGAAAAGGAGGAGAGGAAUUGGAGACAGGGUGUAGCUUAUUCUUUCACAGAUUUUUGUUCCAAGGGGAGCUAAAGAAAAGGGGUGGGGAGUCAGUAGCUGACAAGAGAAGUGGAGAGACUUUUUGUUUCUUUUAAGAUGGGAGGAAUAGCAUGCUUUUAUGCUGAUGGGUGUGUUCCAAUAGAGUAAAUGAGAUAGAUAAGAGGAAAGAAUCAGAAUCGUCAGUGCAAAGAGGGCAAAAAGGGUGGGAUUAAUUGUACAGAUGAAAGGAUUGAUUCUAGAUAGCACAUGCAUAGUUCAUUUGUUUAUUUGCUUGCAGAUGCUGGGCAGAUGUGGUUGAGAGGACUGGAAGUUCUCUUCUGAUUGCUUUAAUAUUAUCAGUGAAGUAAGAAGCAAAGGCAUUAGCUUCCAUCGGAAUGGGAGAAGUGGUGUUUAGAGUUCGGGAAGAAGACGUGAAGUAGUCUUCUAGGAGAGUGGGAGAGUGAGAAAGUACAGUAUGAUCCUGAGAUGGAGUUAGGCUCUAAGUUGCAUCAGAAAGUGAGAUGAGUCAGUAUGGUUGUGGUUUUUUCCAGUCAUGUUCAACCUUACAGAUGGGGGUAGAUGAAGAGUUACAAUCAACCAUGGUUGUGGUCUGCCAAUAGAGUGAAGCAAAGAAGGAACGCACUAGAGAGCCGAGGAGUAUGCAAGGGAGUGGUUAUAUUUUUGGCCAUGAAGAUUAAGCAGGGUAAGGAGAGGAGAGAGGACAGCAAGAGGGUGUGUGAGGGACAGGGGAACAAAGUUGAAUUGGAGGUCCCAGUGGGAGCAGCACAUUGUUGGACUUGAGUAUUAAAGAGAAUGAGCCAGAAAGAUUUCAUCAGUAUGACAACAUGUUAGAGCCAUUGGGGACCUGAAGGUGAGAAAAAGAAUUGAAUUUUAUUUUUAUUCUUGCUCACAACCCCUUGAUGAUCUCACAUAAAUGAAAGUCUUUAAACCUACUUAUAUUUAAAAAAAACCCAUCACAGUCUUUGAUAGUAGAGAAUUUGGCUAUUUUAGAAAAUCCACAUCUUCUCAUAAAACUUGGCUUUUAUUAAGUCCUUCUCUUUUAAUCACACAUUCUCUAGUUUCAUGUAUUGGAUCUUCUUGGAAUAUAGGAGACAUUGUUAGCAAUCUAAUAAGUAUCACAUCACUAGCAUAUGCAUUUGCUGGUAUGUUAUUUUUCUGAGACUAUAUGGUCAUUUACCUGGUUGGUAAGCACAUCAGUUUUCUCACGUCUGCUUCAUCUACUCAUAAUUAAAACGGGUAUUACAUAAGACUGUUUUAUGUGUACGGUCAAAAUGUAUUCCUCAGAAAAUAAGGCAGAAAUUAUUUUUUUCCUUAUAGAACUCCAUUUUUUGGUGGUUUUUAAUUAUGCCAAGCUUUAUUUUUUACUGUUAGAGCCUUACAAUUAUUAGAUGUUAUGAAAGGAGAAUCUAGAAUUUAGAGUUGGGAGUUAAUAAAAGGUUUCUAUGGUAGAAGGCAAAUGGUUAAUUUUUUAGGCCUUAUAGUGUUUUAUCUAUUGAAAUUCUGUUCUCUUGGACCUCGCUUUUCCCUUUAUGAAAAUGUUUCCCCAUCCAUGUAAGCAUAUUAAAAUGAAUCUUUGUUAUCUUCAAAGGUACAACUUGAUUAGGUCUUAGAGAUUUCUUAGGACAAGAUUUUAGGACAAAGGAUAAUUUUGAGGCUGUUUUGAUUUAGAGAAACCCAUUCAACAAUUGGCAACAAUAUUUAGAAAUGUUGGAGCAGCCAUGGUAGUGAGACUUACCUUCAGGUUUUUAGAGAUAUUUCUUGAUUGAUCUUGAUGGAAUCUCUGCAUCAAAAUACUCUCUGAUGUUUGAGAAGAAAACAAACAUUCCCUUCCUGUCUACAGCAUUCCAUAAAAUCUAGAAAUAUUUAGCUUAGUCAUUGGACCAGGAAUGCCUGUCUCUACUGGUAUCUGAGAUCCAGUGAGUUCAGUGGCCUUAGUAUGUUGUAUAAUAAUCAUGAAAUCAACCUGCCUAUGUAUUUAGUAGAUUAGUUUAUUCUUUCUUUCCUCUGGUUUCUCUAAAUUCUGGAUUUUGGACUUCUGAAAUAAAGGAAUUUUAUUUUGGUAUCUAAGUCUUAGGUAACUUAUAAAACCCAUCAUUUUCAGUAAUAACUUCAAAAAAUGAACACGUAUUUGAUUACUAAAUAUAUGUAUUUGUAUUUUAUUUGCUUAUAUUUUUAAGCUAUACAAACACAUAGUUUAAUGAAGUACCAUUUGCUCCAAAGUAGUUAUAUUUUAACCACUGUGGACCAGUCCAUAUAUGCAUGCAUUUCUGCUGAAAAUCUAAAUACAGACCAACUAUAUAACUAUACUGAUAUGGUAACCUAGAAGAUGAUUGAUUAUUCCAACAUAUAUUAAUUCUUUGUUAGAUUACAAGGUCUUUGAAGACAGGAUAUUAUCUUUUCCAUGUUUGUUUUCUUCUUAGAGCUAGCACAACUCAUUACAUAAGGCCCCCAAUCAAUCAAUAUUUAAUAAAUUUAUAAAUGAUGUGUUCUCAGAGCUUUUUAAAGAAUUCUGUGAGGGAAAAUCUGUAAUGUUCUAUUCAUGUGAUGGUGAGGGCACCUGUCUUGGGGGUGUUGUCUUUUCUCAGGAAGUUGUAGUCCCAGAUGUUUGACAGUUCACCCUCUGAAACAUACUUACUAGAUAAAAUGGUUAUAAUUACACAGGGCAUUGCUAGCUCAGAUUCCAAUCUAUGCCUCAGUCUUAACCUUCUCCACACAAAUCUGAUCACAUUCCUUCUUAAAAUUCUUCUAUGUAAGAAUUUUCCCAUGCCCUUUCGAGUGUAGGUUAGGUGGCCCUCCCUCUUCUGUACUUCUGUCUGCAUGUAUCAGAAUGCUCACCCCUCCACCACAUGUGUGGAUUUAUGGGUUUUAAAGUGUAAUGUAGGCACUGGCUUUCAGUUUUGUAUCCCUAGAUCCUGUCUUCUACAGAGUAGACCCAUGAAUAGAUAUUUUCACAUGUUUAUUUAUACCUCAACAUCAUUGUUCAUUAAGUAAUAUUUUAUAAAUAUUUCUGGCUCCAUCCUUUAAAUAAAUUCCCUCACUGCAUAAACACAAUAGGAUGACAUGGGCCUACAGCUCAGUUCUCAAGCUGGCCAUAAUAAAAAUUUCUGUGAAAGUCAGACAAGAAGGCAGACUUUGUGUAAUUUCAGGCAUGUGCUAAUUUGUAUGCUUGUGGGUGCCCUGUUUUAUGUAAUUGUCCAUAAAAAUGUGGCAUGGAAUCUUCAUUAUUUUUAAUAUAGAUAGCACAUGCCAUCCAAAUUAAAAAUUUUAAGCAAAUCUACUUUUUCCUCCUGUAUAUUAAUUAGUCACUUUAAGAAUUUUUGAUAUUAUAGCUUUUGUCCUUAGGUGGAGCUGUUAAAGUUAAGUAAGUGUGAAUAUCUGUCAAAUACAGUUCUUGCAAGAGUGCACGUACAUUUUAUAUAUUGUGAGAAAGGCGUAAUUAAUAGCAAAUUAGGAUAAUGAAAGUAAUAUACACCAGAUGUAGAGAAGACCUUGUGGAAAAUUAGUAUGAAUUAGAUAACAUGUGAUGUGGUCAAAGCAAGCUUGUUGAGAAGAAUUAAAACAGUGGACAUGUGGAGGGACAGUCAGUGGCUGUCUAGCUCCUACACCUAGGGAAUAAUUUAAUCAAGUUUGCUAUUGUAAUACUCAGGGCUUCAAGCUGUUCCAUUUUCACAAGUUGAUAACUUGGGAUUUGGACCUUGAUUUGCAGCAUUCCUAUAUGGUCAAGGUUUCGAGUUGAGAUGAUCACUUACCAAGUAAUCUAAUAAAAACAUCUCCAUGUGUGAGAAUGGAAAAGCCAUGAGAGAUCUUGAGUACUCUGAGUCAUGCUACACAUCUUCCAGACUUGGGAUUCUAGAACACCUUUACUCUUUAGGGAAGUGUUUUCUUAAUUGAAUGCCAAACUACUUCAAAGUUAUUUUCUUGUCAGUUAUUUUAGUGUUUGUGCAUGUUUAUGUUAGCAAAUAAUUUUGAUAGUAAUGUUGUAUAUUCCCAUUUAAUGAAGGGGCUAUUGAAUAAUCAAAUGAAAAGAUGAAAUAAAUUUUAAGUUCAUGGGAAAAUGUUUUUAAAAGAGAGAAAAAUAAUGCCUGCAUGUAGAAAUAAAGAUUAAAAUAUAUGAAUUGACAA